rnacentral:rRNA from 1 species
UACGUAGGGUGCGAGCGUUGUCCGGAAUUAUUGGGCGUAAAGAGCUCGUAGGCGGUGUGUCGCGUCGGCCGUGAAAAACCUGGGGCUCAACUCUGGGCGUGCGGUCGAUACGGGCAUCACUUGAGUUCGGCAGGGGAGACUGGAAUUCCUGGUGUAGCGGUGAAAUUCGUAGAUAUCGGGAGGAACACCAGUGGCGAAGGCGGCUCUCUGGGCAGAUACUGACGCUGAGACGCGAAAGCAUGGGGGAGCAAACAGG